CGCGCAGGCGGAUCAGCAAGUCAGAUGUGAAAUCUCGGGGCUUAACCCCGAAACUGCGUCUGAAACUACUAAUCUAGAAUAUCGGAGAGGAAGAUGGAAUUUCGCAUGUAGGGGUAAAAUCCGUAGAGAUGCGAAGGAACACCAGAGGCGAAAGCGAUUUUCUGGACGAUUAUUGACGCUGAGGCGCGAAAGCGUGGGGAGCAAACA
rnacentral:rRNA from 1 species